AAACUAACAAGGAUUCCCCUAGUAGCGGCGAGCGAAGCGGGAUGAGCUCAAAUUUGUAAUCUGGCAGCAAUGCCCGAGUUGUAAUCUAUAGAGUCGUUUUCGGUGCCGGACCGCGUCCAAGUCCCUUGGAACAGGGUAUCAAAGAGGGUGACAAUCCCGUACUUGACGCGACGACCGGGGCUGUGUGAUACGAUUUCUACGAGUCGAGUUGUUUGGGAAUGCAGCUCUAAACGGGUGGUAAAUUCCAUCUAAAGCUAAAUAUUGGCGAGAGACCGAUAGCGAACAAGUACCGUGAGGGAAAGAUGAAAAGCACUUUGGAAAGAGAGUUAAACAGUACGUGAAAUUGUUGAAAGGGAAACGAUUGAAGUCAGUCGUGUUCAUCGGUUUCAGCGGGUUCUUCCCGUGUAUUACCUUUGGACGGGUCAACAUCGGUUAGGCUCGGCGGAUAAAGGCAAGGGGAAGGUGGCACCCUCGGGUGUGUUAUAGCCUCUUGUUGCAUACGCUGGGUCUGACCGAGGACUGCGGUGUGCCCUUUCGGCAGGUCUUCUGACCUUCCACACCAUGGAUGUUGACAUAAUGGCUUUAAACGAC
rnacentral:rRNA from 1 species